CUGACUUCUGUACCACUCCGGUGAUAAGUAUAUGUAAUAUCUGCAGGUCUCCUAAUCCAGAUGUCCCUGCCAUUUUCUCUGCAACUUUGGAGGCAUGUGUCAAACUUAUUAGAAGGUGUUCUGCUUUUCAGCUCCUGGUCAUCUUUCCUGUUACUCUGGUGGGAUGUCUCUGUUCUAUUAACAGUUCCCCUCCUACCAAGGUCCAGACCAGUAUCUCUCUCCCUUUGUCUUUGUAUGUCACAGGUAUUGAUAAGUCUCCUAGUCCCCAUUUCCUGUGCAUCUUUUCUGACACUCUGGUGACCUGUAUUGGCUGGCUGAGUACUCUUUUUCAGCAAGGGAGGCAACUUAUUCUCAUAAACAGGUGUGUGCUGCCUUGGCCCUCUGCUGCUUUGUUGAUAUUCUGGUUGCUUCUGUGUGAAAAGAUGAGAAUCCAGAAUGCGGUUCAGAGAUUGAUAGGACAACAAUGAGCUGUAUUGUGCCCAUGUGUUUGGUCCGGGGAAUAUACGUCUAAAGCCCUCACUCCUCUCGUGCUCCUGCUUGACUCUUUGCAAGAUCUCCUUCUCUUCAUGCGGGUUGGGUCUGGUCAAUCCUCUAAAAGUCUUUUGAUUUCCUUCCUGGAUAUAUUCCUCAAAUGUUGCAGAGCCCCCUUUGUUCUUCAGCUGGGGAUCCAGACAUUCUAUGCCAAUUAGUGUAAAC